rnacentral:rRNA from 1 species
UGGCGGACGGGUGAGUAACGCGUGGGUAACCUGCCUUAUACAGGGGGAUAACAACCAGAAAUGGUUGCUAAUACCGCAUAAGCGCACAGGACCGCAUGGUCCGGUGUGAAAAACUCCGGUGGUAUAAGAUGGACCCGCGUUGGAUUAGCUAGUUGGCAGGGUAACGGCCUACCAAGGCGACGAUCCAUAGCCGGCCUGAGAGGGUGAACGGCCACAUUGGGACUGAGACACGGCCCAG